UGGCGAACGGGUGAGUAACGCGUGAGGAACCUGCCUCAAAGAGGGGGACAACAGUUGGAAACGACUGCUAAUACCGCAUAAGCCCACGGGUCGGCAUCGACCUGAGGGAAAAGGAGCAAUCCGCUUUGAGAUGGCCUCGCGUCCGAUUAGCUAGUUGGUGAGGUAACGGCCCACCAAGGCGACGAUCGGUAGCCGGACUGAGAGGUUGAACGGCCACAUUGGGACUGGGACACGGCCCAG
rnacentral:rRNA from 1 species